CAUUUGUCGGACAGUGUUAAAGAAAACAGAACUCAUUAUAUGCCCAACCGAAAACAAAUUCAGGGUUGAUGUUGAGAAGAACUGGAAGGAGUCCUCAAAGUUCUCAAAAUUGUGGGAGUGCUUGGAAAGGAUUCACGAGUCAGGAAGUGGGGAAAAGAGCAUUGUUUUCAGUCAGUGGACCUCAUUUUUUGAUCUUUUAGAGAUCCCAUUAAAGAGGAGAAGAAUUGGGUUCUUAAGGUUUGAUGGAAGCGUGGUGCAGAAACAGAGGGAGAAUAUUUUGAAGGAGUUCAAUGAGACCAAAGAGAAGACAGUAAGCAUUUACAAGAGCUUUCUAACUUUUCAAUUGUAAGAUGAAACAUUAGUUGCGAUAAUGGGUGAUUUCAUAUGACAUAUUUCAGG
rnacentral:lncRNA from 1 species